rnacentral:tRNA from 2 species
GCCGGCGUAGCUCAGUUGGUAGAGCAACUGAUUUGUAAUCAGUAGGUCACGGGUUCGACUCCUGUCGCCGGCACCA